UAAACAAUUAAACCAAACCAAAAAAGAAAAAAAAAACUCUUUUCUUUCUGGCACACAUCACAAUGAGCUCAUUGUGCCCAAUGCAUCAUGGAGUUUAAAACCGAUUGUUUUACCCAGGAAACUGAAGUCAGCGUUGUCAAGGCGUUAACUGAGACUCUAUUCAUUCACAACCAACAGAGAGAGUUUGAAUCGUUGCGGCAAACUGUGUCUGGUGAAGUGGGCGUCACCAAGAGCGCUUAAGAGAAAGUCUGUGUGUGGACCUGUGACUCUACAUGAAUGACUCAAGUGAAGAAACACGCGUGAAACCACUAUUUCAAAGGAAAAAGAAGAGGAAGAAGGGACAUCUUUAACUUUCGCAGUGGAACUUGAGUGCGCAUUUGCGCAAAGUCUCUCCAAAGUCACUUGGUAACUUUUGCGCACCAGUGCAGCUCCAUUCUCAAGCAGUUUUGGGUCACUGCGAGGAGAGACUGUCGUCCAGCAGAAUGGCGUCAGACGUGGGCCGUAGCACUUGAGGUCAGCUACUCACUCAGCGCACAGUGUUUAUUCUGUCUUCAGGUCCUCCUGGGAAGUUCCUACUUAAGAGUUCGGAAGUCAUAAUUAUGAUGUGAAGUGAUUUGGCUUGAAAUAAUACGGAUGAGUUGAGCAUAUUUAUGUGUCUUUAACCCAGCUAACAGGGAAUGUUCACAGAACUUGGUUAGAAUGUUAAUACAGUGUUCAUUCAAAGUUCGUGAGAUGCACACUUAUCUAAUGUGUGUCAUUGUUUUGGAAUGUUCAGAGAACAUUCGAAAGUAACGUUCCCAUAAUGUUUGCAAAAUUAUUAAAUGAAAUGUUUGCAUAACCCCAAAAAAAAAGAAGGAAAAAAAAAGUUUUUGAAACAUUUAGAUAUUUAGAAUGUUCACACUUUUGUCAGAAGUAAUAUUUUCAUAACUUAAUGCAUAGUAACGUUAAACGUUCUUAGAACAUUUUUGUUAGCUGGGAACCUUACAAUGCAUUUUUAGUCUAAAUGAAGAAGAAAUUAUGCACAUUAGGUGCAAUUUAAGAUGAAUUGUAAAAAAUAUAUAUUUUAUCAUUCUUGUGCAACCGCAUAUAAUGACUGAAAAUGUAUUUCACAAAAUGUUUACAAAUUAGUUUUACAUUAUAUCAACAUUCACACCCUUGGUUCCACAAGUAUUUUUCUCAUUCAUUAUCUGUUUAUAAUUCUAUUAUCCAUUAUCUAUUCUAAUCUUGAAAACAUUUGAGUUUUAAACUAUGAAGACCAACCAGCUGGAAGAUGAAUCACAAACUUUACAUCUUGCUCCUAAAAUGUAUGGAAAUCUGAGAAAAAGGCAAAAGUACAAGACGGUGUAGUUUAAUUUUUUUUGGAAAUAAUACUCUAUAAAAUAUUAUGUAGAACUCUUGAUGUGCAGUCAUUCCUUGUUUAUUAGAUAUUGUUUGUAUAAAAUAUAAUACAAAUCUUUGAAUAGUUAAUUUGAAUUUAUUUAAUUUUAAUUAGAUUAUUAUUUUUUAAUUAUUAUUAAUUGAAUUUGUUAUUUUAGAUUAAUUUACAUUUGUUUUGAUGGCAUCAGUCUCUUUCCUUAUCUCUUUCUGUAAAUUUGCUUUGAGAAAGUGGACUCUCAUUCCAUGAAAUUUGCCUUGAAAUCAUUAACUUACACAGAAGAACGUCUCAUGUAGAUGAUUAUAUGUUAUACGGAGCUCAUGUGGAUCUGUCUUGAAAGGUUUAUACAAUAAUGCUAUAACUCUAUUGAGAAGAUGAAUGGGACUGUACUUCUGGAACCCAACUGUUGUGCUCUAUAGCCAUUAGCUUCUAAUGUGAUUUUAUCAUCGACACGAACCCUACACAAAAAGUCUCUUUAAUAAUUAACCAUCAUGGUGUAUAUGACUCUGACAUGACUUGAAGGCAGCAUGCUUUAUUUAUUUUCAAGCUAAGCUACUGUGGACUUGUAAAGACAAACAACUGAGCAGCACUGCCAAACUAGCUGAAGGAUUGUUAAAGAGCCGAUGCACAGCCAUGUAACAUGAACACUUAUCACUCACAAUAAAUGUUUCCCUGAAAAACA